rnacentral:hammerhead_ribozyme from 1 species
GCACUGCUGUGGAGUCCCAUAAUAGAACGAACGGCCGUCCAGUGC